CGCAUCUGUGCAUGCAGCAUAUCAAUAAGCGGAGGAAAAGAAACUAACAAGGAUUCCCCUAGUAACGGCGAGUGAAGCGGGAAGAGCUCAAAUUUGAAAUCCUUAAAGGGUUUCCCUUUACGAAUUGUAGUUUAAAGAAGUGUUUUCUGUUGAGGUUUUGGUAAAAGUUCUUUGGAAUAGGACAUCAUAGAGGGUGAGAAUCCCGUAUUUUGACCUUUACUUUCAACUUUGUGAUACACUUUCAAAGAGUCGGAUUGUUUGGGAAUGCAGUCCAAAAUGGGUGGUAAAUUUCAUCUAAAGCUAAAUAUUGGCGAGAGACCGAUAGCGAACAAGUACCGUGAGGGAAAGAUGAAAAGAACUUUGAAAAGAGAGUUAAACAGUACGUGAAAUUGUCAAAAGGGAAGCGUUUGACACCAGUGUUGUUUUUCUGAAAAUCAAUUAAAGAACUGUUUAUGCUAAGCUGUUUAGACUUUAUCAGCUAAUCUGCUUAGUUUUGAGCUUUUCUUUAAUGCACUUUUCAGUUAACAAGUCAACAUCAAUUUCUUUUGCUGUAAAAAAGCUUGAGGAAGGUGGCUUGAGAUUCGUCUUAAGUGUUUAUAGCCUCUUGCCUAUGCAGUCGGAGAGAUUGAGGUCUGCAGCGUAGAUCCUUCGGGGCUAAAUGCAUUUGUGCUAAGUUAUAGCAUUUUAUAGACAACUUGUUGACUAUGAUUUGUCUUGUAGCUUACUCGCUUAUGUUAUUUUACCUACGCUUAGGAUGUUGAAUCUGUGCGAGACUA
rnacentral:rRNA from 1 species